rnacentral:rRNA from 1 species
GACGAACGCUGGCGGCGUGCUUAACACAUGCAAGUCGAGCGAAGUUUUUCUGGUGUUUGCACUAGAAAAACUUAGCGGCGAACGGGUGAGUAACACGUAAAGAACCUGCCUCAUAGACUGGGACAACUAUUGGAAACGAUAGCUAAUACCGGAUAACAGUAUUUCUCGCAUGGGAGAUAUUUAAAAGUUGGUUAUGCUAACACUAUGAGAUGGCUUUGCGGUGCAUUAGCUAGUUGGUGGGGUAAAGGCCUACCAAGGCGACGAUGCAUAGCCGACCUGAGAGGGUGAUCAGCCACACUGGGACUGAGACACGGCCCAGACUCCUACGGGAGGCAGCAGUAGGGAAUCUUCCGCAAUGGGCGAAAGCCUGACGGAGCAACGCCGCGUGAGUGAAGAAGGAUUUCGGUUCGUAAAGCUCUGUUGUUAGGGAAGAAUGGAUAUGUAGUAA